AUGGCGCCAGCACCACAGCAAGAAGCUUCUCGGAAGCUCAACGUAGUGGAGAGCGCCGUCGUAGCGCCCUGGCCGAUCCCUCCGGUGCCGGAGACCUCCCUCCCGCUCACCUUCUUCGAUGUCUUCUGGCUCAACUUCCCGCCGGUGGAGCGCGUCUUUUUCUACCACCUCGUCCCCGGCCCCGGCGCCGCCACUACCGCCACCAUCCUCUCCAACCUCAAGACCUCACUCGCCCAAGCCCUCCGCGCCUUCUACCCGCUCGCCGGCCGCCUGCGCCUCAGGCCCGGCACCACCGACCGCCACGAGCUCCACUACCAGCCCGGUGACGGCGUCACCUUCACCGUCGCCAUGUACGACCUCGACGUCGACGAGCUGGCCCUGGACGAGCCGAGGGAGGUCGCCAAGAUCGCACAGCUCGUGCCGCCUCUCCCGGACGGCGGCGCGGUGCUCGCCCUGCAAGCCACCGUGCUGCGCGGCGGCCGCGGCCUCUCCGUCGGCAUGGCCCUGCAUCACGCUGCCUGCGACGGGGCAUGCUCCACCCAUUUCCUCCACACCUGGGCGGCGGCCAGCGCCGGCGCCGUCGCGCCGGCGCCCCCUGUCAUUGACAGAACUCUCGUCAAGGACCCAAGUGGUCUUUGCGACGCCUUCAUUAGAGCCAUGGCGAGUACCGAGAAGAAGGAUUACGUCAAGAUGCCCGGCGAUAAGCUCCUCGCCACCUUCACUCUGUCCAUAGAAGACAUACAACGCAUCAAGGACGUCGUCCUGCUCGCCGCGGCUGGCAAGGCGGGCGCGCCGCCGCGAUGCUCCUCGCUGGUUGCCACCUUCGGCUUCAUCUGGUCAUGCCACCAGCGGGCUAAAGAUGACAAAGCAAGUAACGGAGGCGGCGGCGACCCGACCUACUUCAUCUUCCCCGUCGACCACCGCUCGCGGAUGGAGCCUGCUCCCAUUCCGGACGAGUACCUCGGCAACUGCGUCGGCGCCGCCCUGCAGGGCGCGCCCAAGGACCGACUCGCCAUGCCCGGCGCUGUUGGCCUCGUCACCGCGUGCACGGCGGUUGCUGCGGCGAUCGAGCAGGCGGUGGGCGUCGGCAGCAUUCGGUCACCGGAGCUGUGGUGGGAGCGGAUAAGGGAGGCCAUAUUAUCCGGCGGCGGCGUGCUGACCGUGGCAGGGUCGCCGAAGUUCCGGGUCUACGACGUCGACUUUGGGUUCGGGCAGCCGGCCAAAGUGGAGAUCGUAUCCGUGGCGAGGACUGGCGCCCUGGCGGUGGCGGAGAGCCGCCGGAGCAGCGGCGGAAUUGAGGUGGGCAUAUCUCUGCCAGCGGAUGCCAUGCGGAGGUUCCAAUGCUGCUUCCACGAUGCCAUCGCUUGGCUGCAGUGCACAACACCAUUAAACAAGUAG
rnacentral:rRNA from 1 species